UACGUAGGGGGCGAGCGUUGUCCGGAUUUACUGGGCGUAAAGGGCGUGCAGGCGGUCUGUUAAGUCUAGGGUGAAAGCUCCCGGCUCAACUGGGAGAGGUCCUUGGAUACUGGCGGACUUGAGGGAGGCAGAGGAGAAUAGAAUUCCCGGUGUAGUGGUGAUAUGCGUAGAUAUCGGGAGGAAUACCAGUGGCGAAGGCGGUUCUCUGGGCCUUACCUGACGCUGAGACGCGAAAGCGUGGGGAGCGAACCGG
rnacentral:rRNA from 1 species